GCAGGAGAGAAGUCUGAAGAAGUACGAGGAGGGUCGUCAGAGUGAGAUCCUGGGAGCAUAAACACACAUUCGCCCUCACACCUCUCCAGGUUGGAACAGUGUCCCGGUGACUGUAGUCCAACUUUAGCCCGAUUUGACAUUGGGAAAUUCUCAAUAAUUCACUACUUCCCAAAGUACCUGAAAAGACAAUUUACAAAAGAGGAACUUGGCUCAUCGACUGAUACACGGAAAACAGGUAAUGGCGACUAUUAAAAGGCUUUCCAUCCCAUCCAUGCCCUGCUCCACGUCUGUAUCUGGUAAACAUCCUACAGGAGCGCCCCAAGCCCUCCUAAGAGAAGUCUGGGCUGACCCUAGGCCGGGUAGGCCCCUCCCCUGCCUUUUCCCUUAAGUUCCCGCUCCCCCCACCCUCUUCCUUUUGUCAAGCCACUUUCCUUCUCCGAGGGUCCUUAUGGGAGGAUCCUUAUCGCCUUCCCCCCAUUGCCCUGGGAGUUCUCUGAGAGCCCAGACCACUCCGUAAAGAUCUUUCUUAACCUUGGAAACACUCCUGGAGGAAUUAAUGUAAAAUCAGGAAGCAAGAAUCCUGUAAGCUGAGAUGGCGUUUACCUGUGCUGUUUUGCCUUUCAACAGAGUGGGGACCAAACAUUAUUGCAGAUAUGUAUAUCCUCUUCUGGGGCAAUGCUGUGUGUAGAGCCCCCUGGAAAAGUGAGGAGGAAGGAGACUAGGACGGUUCUGCCUGGAGGCCUUUACUCUGGAUAUUCCCUCUAGGGAAGCCUGAGUGUCUCAGUCAAUUCAGCGUCUGACUCUUGAUUUCAGCACAGGUCAUGA